AUUGAACGCUGGCGGCAGGCUUAACACAUGCAAGUCGAGCGAGCGGCGGACGGGUGAGUAAUGUCUGGGAAACUGCCUGAUGGCGGGGGAUAACUACUGGAAACGGUAGCUAAUACCGCAUACCAUCGGAUGUGCACAGAUGGGAUUAGCUAGUAGGUGGGGUAAAGGCUCACCUAGGCGACGAUCCCUAGCUGGUCUGAGAGGAUGACCGGCCACACGGGGACGGAGACACGGGCCCGACUCCUACGGGAGGCAGCAGUGGGGAAUAUUGCACAAUGGGCGAAAGCCUGAUCCAGCCAUGCCGCGUGUAUGAAGAAGGCCUUCGGGUUGUAAAGUACUUUCAGCUGGGAGGCGUUACCCGCAGAAGAAGCACCGGCUAACUACGUGCCAGCCGCCGCGGUAAUAC
rnacentral:rRNA from 1 species